UCAAGUUUGCGUCAAUAAAAAUAACAUGAACAACAGUUAAAAAAAUAUUAUGUAACUAAAUCAUAUGUAUGAGGUCACGUACAUGCGGAGGCGAUUUUAUGAGUGGGUGUUAAACCCCCUAAAAAGUGUGAUUUUCAAGUUUUAGUCGGUUAUGGAUGGCACUUUUACUUACUUUUUUUUUACUUCCACGACAUCGUGACAAGAACUGUUGCAUCAUGACAGCAACUGAAAUAUGACAACAGGUUACCACAACCAGGUUUGUUGAUGACGCAAUAUAAAAGAUCAAAG
rnacentral:lncRNA from 1 species